GAUGAACGCUGGCGGCGUGCCUAAUACAUGCAAGUCGAGCGAACGGACGAGAAGCUUGCUUCUCUGAUGUUAGCGGCGGACGGGUGAGUAACACGUGGAUAACCUACCUAUAAGACUGGGAUAACUUCGGGAAACCGGAGCUAAUACCGGAUAAUAUUUUGAACCGCAUGGUUCGAAAGUGAAAGACGGUCUUGCUGUCACUUAUCGAUGGAUCCGGGCUGCAUUAGCUAGUUGGUAAGGUAACGGCUUACCAAGGCAACGAUGCAUAGCCGACGUGAGAGGGUGUACGGCCACCGUGAAGCUGAGAGACGGUCCAGACUCCGAGGGGAGGCAGAAGUAGGGAAUCUUGCGAAAAGGGCGAAAGCCUGACGGAGCAACGCAGCGCGAGUGAUGAAGGGCUGCGGAUCGUAAAACUCUGUUAUUAGGGAAGAACAUAUGUGUAAGUAACUGUGCGCAUCUUGAGGGAACGUAUACAGAAAGCCAGGGCUAACUACGU
rnacentral:rRNA from 1 species